CACUUAUUAAAUCCACUUCAAUCAGUGUAAAGGAAGGGGAGGAGACAAGUUAAAUAAGUAUUUUUAAGGCUUAAGACAACUGAGACAUGGAUUGUGUACUGUAUGUGUGCCAUUCAGAUGGUGAAUGGGCAAGAGAAAAGAUUGAAGUGCCUUUGAACAGGGUAUGGUAGUAGGUGCCAGGCGCACCGGAUUUGUGUCAAGAACUGCAACACAGCUGGGUUUUUCACACUCAAUAGGUUCCCUUGUGUCAAGCAUGGUCUACCACCCUAAGGACAUCCAGCCAACUUGACACAACUGUGGGAAGUAUUGCCGUCAACACGGUCCAGCAUGCCUGUGGAACGCUUUCGACACCUUGUACAGUCCAUCAUGCCCCCAACGAAUUGAGACUGUUCCGAGGGCACUCAGGCUAAGAGUCACUGAGAGUCAAGCUAAGAGAGUCCAGAUGGAUCUAAGCCUAAACCAAAGUUCAUGCAAAACCUCUCUGCACCAAAGAUGGCUGAUGGUGACAACGUGGAUUUUGAUGACAUCCACAGGAAGCGUCAGGAGACCUGUCUGAGCUCCAGUCUCUGAGUCUCACUUCAUCCCGGAGGAAGAAGGAGUAAGAGGAGCUCAUCUCCCUCGUAAACAGGAUUGUGUAGGAGAAACGCUUUGCGGAGAGGGCAGAGCAGCGGCGGGUUCGUGCGGAGAGGGAGAAGGAAUGGCAGCUCAGGGUUGCUUGCUCUGCAGGAGGAGAAAGAGAGGAAGGAGGCAGAGCAAUGUAGGAAGAACGAUGAUGACGCUAAAAAAAAGGCUCUCACUAACAUGACCCACCAGUAUGGAGGCAUUCAGCAGAAAAUGAAAACCGUAAAGGAGCCAAAAAUCAGAGGGAGAAGAUUCUUGCUGACCGCAGGAAAUCUCUCAGCAUCGACAAUCUGAAUGAGGACACACUCAAGGCAACAGCCAAUGAGAUGUGACAGUGGAUGAUGGAGCUGGAGGCUGAGAAGUUUGACCUCAGUGAGAAACUCAAGUACGAUAUCAUGAAAAAUAAGACGGGGGGCACCAGACCAAGCAUCUCUAAGUAGAAAUUUGGACUGUCAAUUUUUACACAAUGUGAGAGGUCCCAGGCAGUGGGUACAUCAGAGGUGACCUACAGUACUACUGAACAGAUUAACCAGCUUCUCACUCGGGUCCAGGAUCACCAAAGCAUCAAAGGUCGCGGCAAGAAGAUGGGCCGGGUGAGGUAAAGGAGCAAUCGCUACAGUCGGGCGAACGACCACGACGCCAGGGAUCGGCCCAUGAUGUGUGUUCAUCUGUGUAUCAACGUGUCAAUAAAUGAGUCCAACACUGGCA
rnacentral:lncRNA from 1 species